GGAUUGUGGCUCAGAGGGAGAGUACUUGCCUUGAACACAUGAGGCACUGGGUUCAAUCCUCAGCACCA
rnacentral:tRNA from 1 species